CCUACGGGUGGCUGCAGUAGGGAAUAUUGGACAAUGGGCGAAAGCCUGAUCCAGCCAUGCCGCGUGAUAGAUGAAGGCCCUCUGGGUUGUAAAUCUCUUUUCUCUGGGAAGAAACAAUCUUAUUCUUAAGAUCUUGACGGUACCAGCGGAAUAAGCACCGGCUAACUCCGUGCCAGCAGCCGCGGUACUACGGAGGGUGCAAGCGUUAUCCGGAUUCACUGGGUUUAAGGGGUGCGUAGGCGGCAGGGGUGAAAGCUCCGAGCGUAACUUGGAAACUGCCAUUGAUACUGCCAGUCUUGAAGGUCGUAGAGGUAAGCGGAAUGUUGCAUGUAGCGGUGAAAUGCUUAGAUAUGUUACAGAACACCAAUUGCGAAGGCAGCUUACUAUGCGAUGAUUGACGCUGAGGCACGAAAGCGUGGGGAGCAAACAGGAUUAGAUACCCUGGUAGUC
rnacentral:rRNA from 1 species